rnacentral:lncRNA from 1 species
GUAAUUUAAACCAUUAUCAUGUUUAUAGGUCAAGGUACUGCCUUGUAGACGAAACGCGCGUCUGGCGUAUAUACUAAAUUUAGUCCUGGUAUCUAUGAUGACUUUAUUUGAAAACAAAUCCUUGGCUCACAAAGAACAGCAAGCUAUGAAAGGCUCCAAAAAUUAAUAGUUUAAAACCAUUUAAACAAGAAAAAAAACUGUAUAAUCUAUAUGAAAAACGAAAAACGAAAAGCACUUAUCAACCACAUCAACUAACGACAACCAUUUAACAAAAAACGGUUCUGCCUUAUGACAUGUGCAAACAAAUGCAGCCAGUUUAAACGUUUCAACUGGCACUGAACUUCAACUUAACCUGAAACAUUAGUGUAGCAUCAAAACGCAGAAACCCGACUUUACAAUUAUAGCCCGA